CUAGCUGUAACCGGUGGAUUUCUGUCAUUGUCUAGGACCUGAGGAAGCAGGUAGUUAGUCCGCAGCUAAAAAUGAAGCAGCUGAUGCAGUAGCCAAGAAAGGUACCUUUGUGGGCAGCAGAACAGAGAAACUGUGUCAAGAGAAAGAGCAGGCCAGGACAAGAAACAUCACAUGUAGGUACCACCUCCAGGCAGAGAAGAGCCUAACAACACCCAGACUGGUGCCCUCCCUUCUGCAAGCAACAGAAUCUGGUUGGCAUGACAAUGACAAGGGAGAUUAUGUCAACCUAUACUGCUAAUAAGCUGAACAGUUUCCUUGUUCUCCACCUACCUGCACCUGCCUAGGCACAAAUCAGCUUAUUUCAUCUAGCACCCACCUGAAGUUUCCUGCCUACAAGAAAAUAUGUGUAUUAGUUCAGGCAGACGGCAUGAAGUCACUGGAAACACGGCCCCACUACACCUAGCCCCAGCCUCGGUUUGCUGCCUCAUGGUGAAUGACCUGCACCUUUCUGCUGAAGUAAUUAGCUUUUGAACCUCUGCUUCCACAACAAACCUGACCCUACACCUCCCCCUUGACCCUCCAGCUCAUGGGAAGUCCCAUUUAUCCUUAGAUGACUUGCUCUGAAAAUCAGGAAGACCCUGCUGUGUUUCACAGGCUCGUCUAUACGAGAGGAUUUGGAGCAUUCUCGGACGAUAGCACAAACAGGAUGCAGGCUGAUAGAAACAGCGGUGCUAAAAGCCUCAAAACAUACCAUCCAGACUUAAAGAUGGAGAAUGUAAAUUGGAAAACACUGGGCUUUUUCCAUUGGCUGCUCAAAGCCACGUGUCAACAUCCACUAAAAUAAGGUAAUUUUCAGACAAAGACUGUUAUCUCAGCGUUUCACCCAGGGUCAUUAUGUGCUACCAUGUUUUCCCUUUCAGAAUAUGAUGUAAAACACAG
rnacentral:lncRNA from 1 species